AAUGAAGAAGGCGAGCACGAGGAUGGAGCUACACACGGACACGGGAGAGGCAAAGCUGAUGACGAAGGUGGGUCCUGCACCUGCGCCAGCUCAGAGUCAAGCAUCAUCUUGGCACACGCCUGUAGUCCCAGCUAACUCUGGAGGCUUAGGCAGGAGAAUUGCUUGAGCCUGGGAGACGGAGGUUGCAGUGAGCCGAGAUUGAGGUUGCAGUGAGCUGAGAUGGAGCCACUGCACUCCAGCCUGGCCGACACAGGGAGAAUCCGUCUCAAAAAAAAAAAAAAAAAGAUUUCCAGCAAUAGAAAAGUGCUGACGACAUACCUGGGCCAAAGGAAAGCUUGAUCAUGGACAGCUUCUCUUGAGAGGCUGGCUAGAUUUAAAUCAGUGAUAAGUUUUCAGCUCUCUGAUGUUGAGCAAGUUACUUAAACCUCUUGUUAUAGUUGUCAGAUUAGUAAAAUGGGUUCAUAAAUAGCAUUUCCCUUUAGGAUUAUUGGGAGUGUUCAAGGAAUGAAUGAUUUAAAGAGGCCUGGCACGUUCUAAAUGUUACAUGAUAAGAACAUUGAAGAGAAAUACCCACUACUCUCCUUGAUUGACCGCAGGGUCUGCAUGUCACCCAAAGUCAUCCUCUUUGGAGGGUGCCCCUCAUUUUCAAAACUGCCAUCCUGCAGUGGGGUGGCUGGCAGGCCUGGGAUAGUCCAGGAGAACUAUAUGAAAAGGAGGAAACUGACAAAUGUGCCCACCAUCACCUCAGAGGAGGAGCAUCGAAGGAACAGAGAGAGAGGCCGACCCUUGGUUGCCACAUUCUGUCUGCAGCGGAAACGAUUUUGAGGGUCCUAGGUGGGAAGAAGGACAGACAAUGAGAGGGGAGGGUGAGGGAGAAGCAAGUCACCUCCACCGUGGCUCAUCUGCACACUGCUCACUAGCUCCGCUCCCUGCUACAGCCAGUGUAGAAGGUGAGCAAGAGGAUGGAGCUGCACACGGACCCCAGAGAGGCAAAGCUGGUGGCGAUGGUGCGCAGAGGGAGGAAGGGAGGGGUUGGGGAUAGCACGUAAGAGAUAUCAUGGUAUGGGCAUCUGUAACAGACCUAAGCUUUGGCAAAAUAAACUAAAAUGAAUUAGUAUGAAAUAUAAAAACAAAGUCUACUUUUUAUACUCAACAUGGUGGGAAAGGAUUGUUCUCUGUCCAAAUGCUGCAGCAGUGU
rnacentral:lncRNA from 10 species